rnacentral:rRNA from 1 species
UACAGGGGGGGCAAGCGUUGUUCGGAAUUACUGGGCGUAAAGGGCCAGUAGGCGGCCAACUAAGUCACACGUGAAAUCCCCAGGCUUAACCUGGGAACUGCGUGUGAUACUGGAUGGCUUGAAUUCGGGAGAGGGAUGCAGAAUUCCAGGUGUAGCGGUGAAAUGCGUAGAUAUCUGGAGGAAUACCGGUGGCGAAGGCGGCAUCCUGGACCGGUAUUGACGCUGAGGCGCGAAAGCCAGGGGAGCAAACGGG